rnacentral:lncRNA from 1 species
UUUCAACUAGAAUUCAUUAGCUCUUGAUUGGUUGUUAUUCUAUUUAUUUCCAUGUGUUGAAAAUAAUAAGUUGAAUCAAUAUGUCCAUUAUUAUCAUAUACUGAUUCUAUUUUUUUUUUCUUUUGCGUAUGUGAUAUUCCGAGAGAAUCCAUUUUGGUUUCGACCUUUUUUUCUCCAUUUGCAUUUUCGGUUGGGCCACCAUAGGCCCAAACACGAGUCAUUUGCAAUUCGGUAUUUGUUCGAAUCAUAUCGGCAACCAAUAUAGAACAGUGAAGCUGAAAUAUGGUUCCGGAAAGCUGAAACAACCUGAGAUACAGCCUGUAUACAUAGAUAUACAACGGGACAUACUGAUAUACAGGUUAAAACGCAGCAGCCACAGGUCAAAAAAUAAAGGAUGGGGUCGGAAACUGAAAUACAGGUCCUAGAAUCUCAGAAAAAUGGGUUGUAUACAUCCGAUAUACACGGAUAUACACCGGAUAUAUACAAAAACGGGUUUAAGAUUAAACCCCAAAAUUUCAGCGAAUUUGGCCCAAAAAGAGGCCCAAAUUCAAUUUCUCCCUUACUCUUUAAUUAUUUAAUUAUGAUUAUUUAUUGUUCGUUGUUUAACUCUAACUUUAUAUUUGUUAAUUAACUUAAUUAAAAUCCCCAAAAGAUGAACC